AAAUAAAAUGCUUCGCUGAGCGCAGCUGGAUACGACAGCAGAGGUCCAACCCUGAACAGUUAGGGCAAAAAUGGACACAAUAUUCAAGCUUGAUACAGGUCUGAAUUUGGAUUGUAAUUAAAUAUUUGACACAUUAUAGGUUUCUGACACAGAAUAAAUGUAGUCAAAGAACUUGAAAUUGGUUGUAUGAUUUGAAUUUAUAUUCAAUUGAAGAUUUCUUGCUGUUGUGCAAUACACUGUGCUGUUGCGCAAUACUUAGUAAAUCUGUUUUCAUACUAUAUACAAAGAAUUAGCAAAAUAAAUUGUGACCCCCAAUUUUUUUUUUGCAAAAUUGACAAUUUCUUAAAUCUUGAGGGGAAAAAAAUUGACACCCCCUCC